rnacentral:rRNA from 1 species
UGGGGAAUUUUGGACAAUGGGGGAAACCCUGAUCCAGCCAUCCCGCGUGUGCGACGAAGGCCUUCGGGUUGUAAAGCACUUUUGGCAGGAAAGAAACGUCGCGGGUUAAUACCCCGCGAAACUGACGGUACCUGCAGAAUAAGCACCGGCUAACUACGUGCCAGCAGCCGCGGUAAUACGUAGGGUGCAAGCGUUAAUCGGAAUUACUGGGCGUAAAGCGUGCGCAGGCGGUUCGGAAAGAAAGAUGUGAAAUCCCAGAGCUUAACUUUGGAACUGCAUUUUUAACUACCGGGCUAGAGUGUGUCAGAGGGAGGUGGAAUUCCGCGUGUAGCAGUGAAAUGCGUAGAUAUGCGGAGGAACACCGAUGGCGAAGGCAGCCUCCUGGGAUAACACUGACGCUCAUGCACGAAAGCGUGGGGAGCAAACAGGAUUAGAUACCCUGGUAGUCCACGCCCUAAACGAUGUCAACUAGCUGUUGGGGGCCUUCGGGCCUUGGUAGCGCAGCUAACGCGUGAAGUUGACCGCCUGGGGAGUACGGUCGCAAGAUUAAAACUUAAAUGAAUUGACGGGGGUCAUAGCUGUUUCCU